UAGCAACACGCCUUUCCCACAGUCAUCCAUCACUCAUUUUCCGCAAGGAAUGCCUCUGGCCUCUUCUCCAGUUCAGCAACCUCUCGUGGCGUCGCAUCCUCGAGCUCCACGCGAGUCUCACUAUGAGCAUGCCGCGAUCGGUUCCGCGUCUGGUUGCAGCCACCCCGAUGGGCAGGCAACAUGAACUGGGGUUGGGAAUGGGUAUUGGAACUUAACCCUAAGUAAUCGUUGGUUUUUUCAAGUUUUGCAGAUAUGUUGCUCGGCUUGUUUACUACGCCUUUUGGUCCGAAACUUGCUAAGCUGAAAAGUGGUGCCAUAGAAGAUCAAGGGGCCGAAACAUAAGCUGGGGAGCCCAGAGUUUUCGGACACAAAAGAGUUGUUCCUAUGAGCCAUUCUGGUAAUACCCUCCGCGAGGGAGCUCGUCAGGUUCAUCUGCUGGGCGUUAUACUCUGAUCAAGCCCCGACUGUUUCUUUGGUGCCCAAGUCAUUGGUACGGUGGGAUAUACGUGUUGGUUACAUAUAUGCAGCUCUCGGUGUGGAGGUUGUAUUUGGGUGCUUUCAACUGGACUGUUUUCGAUGAAAGUCUUUGACAACUUUCUGUCUAUAAACUCUGUUAGUAUUUGCCAACCGAGGAGUCUCGAGGCAGAGCUCAAAUACAUUUCCUACAUACAUACUGCCUUCUACACCGUCUCCUUGGCUAUGUUCUCAUUAUUGCCUCGAUCCAACCCGUGGGAAUUGUCAGAAUCUGGCAGAGCGAGGUUUCGACGGCUUACAUACAGAGAGCUUUCAGCCUUGAAUGGCCUGGUUUGUCCUGCCAGUAGCAGCAUUCCGGGUCUUCAUACAGAGAUGGCGCAGAGGGCGGUACUUGGUUUUGCCAAGAGAUGGCUGUAUUUGUUUGGCUCCUGCAUUGCCCUGGGCUCGACGUUGUUGUAAUGACUUCAGAGAUGGCAGAAUGCGAAUUCAGUUCAGGGAAGCAUUCCAUAUGUUCCUAUUGACUCCGUUGACAAUUACUGUAUCCACCCCAUCGUACCUUGGCGAACAUUUAUUGGCCCAAGAAACCUUUACCGAGGCAACAGCCACAGGCAUUGUUGAUGCUUGCAUCAAAGUCACGAUCAGCUGCAUCAACCUUCUCCUCAUGGCCCCGUCCAUGAGAUGUCUGGAGGGCGCCAACACAAUGUCAGUUUCUUCAUGGAAUUGGCCACAGAGCGAUCAGUGCGCUCCACGGUUUUUGUUGAUGUCUUUUGUCCGUUUGUGCCCGCUUGCUUAUUCCAAGCGAGGAAUCGAAAAACUUAUCUCUGAGGGCAUUGCUCACAAACAGAGAGAAGUUUGUCGUUCUCCGCGCGAUGAUGAUCUGGAUCCGAACUUCGAACUGCCACUGGACCGGUUGCCUGUCGGAGUUGUGCGUCUCUGCCGGGGUAACAGUAUUUUGAGGAAGGUCUAUGGGAGCAUAUUCGCCAGGGUACAUGUCAGGGGUGAAAUUGGUGUAGUUGCGGUGGCGAGUCCGUUCCUCUUUGCUCACACGACUGACCUUGCCCUCUGGUGCAUCUCUGGUUAAAGAACGGCUUGGAACCGCUUGUGUGGGACCCAUCUCGAGUUGGAGUCAAGGUUUUGUACCUGUCCG
rfam:Pseudogymnoascus sp. 23342-1-I1 unplaced genomic scaffold scaffold_61, whole genome shotgun sequence.